rnacentral:tRNA from 1 species
GCUCGCGUAGCCUAAUCGGAUAGGGCGUCAGACUUCUAAAUCUGAAGAUUGCGGGUUCAAGUCCCGCCGUGAGUG